rnacentral:rRNA from 1 species
AGAGUUUGAUCCUGGCUCAGAACGAACGCUGGCGGCGCGUCUUAAGCAUGCAAGUCGAGCGGCAAGCGCAGCAAUGCGCCUAGAGCGGCGGACUGGUGAGUAACACGUGGGUGACCUAGCUUUUGGAUGGGGAUAGCCGCUAGAAAUAGCGGGUAAUACCGAAUGUGGUUAUCCGGUUGCGACCGGGUAAAGAAAGGAGCUACGGCUCCGCCAGAGGAUGGGCCCGCGCCCCAUUAGCUUGUUGGUGAGGUAAAGGCCCACCAAGGCUCUGAUGGGUAGCCGGCCUGAGAGGGUGAACGGCCACACUGGGACUGAGAUACGGCCCAGACUCCUACGGGAGGCAGCAGCUAAGAAUAUUCCGCAAUGGACGAAAGUCUGACGGAGCGACGCCGCGUGGAUGACGAAGGCCGAAAGGUUGUAAAGUCCUUUUGUCGACGAAGAAUAAGCUUGGGAGGGAAUGCCCGGGUGAUGACGUUAGUCGGCGAAUAAGCCCCGGCUAAUUACGUGCCAGCAGCCGCGGUAACACGUAAGGGGCGAGCGUUGUUCGGAAUUAUUGGGCGUAAAGGGUACGUAGGCGGUUAGGCAAGCCUAGCGUGAAAUUCUAUGGCUUAACCAUAGCAUGGCGUUGGGAACUGCCUGACUUGAGUCAUGGAGGGGGAGUUAGAAUUCCAGGUGUAGGGGUGAAAUCUGUAGAUAUCUGGAAGAAUACCGGUGGCGAAGGCGAACUCCUAGCCAAUGACUGACGCUGAGGUACGAAAGUGCGGGGAGCAAACAGGAUUAGAUACCCUGGUAGUCCGCACAGUAAACGAUGUGCACUAGGUGUUGGACCGAGCGGUUCAGUGCCGGAGCGAACGCGAUAAGUGCACCGCCUGGGGAGUAUGCCCGCAAGGGUGAAACUCAAAGGAAUUGACGGGGGCCCGCACAAGCGGUGGAGCAUGUGGUUUAAUUCGAUUGUACGCGAGGAACCUUACCUGGGUUUGACAUCUAGCGGAAUGCGGUAGAGAUAUCGCAGCGUAGCAAUACGCCGCUAGACAGGUGCUGCAUGGCUGUCGUCAGCUCGUGCCGUGAGGUGUUGGGUUAAGUCCCGCAACGAGCGCAACCCCUACUGCCAGUUGCCAUCACGUAAAGGUGGGGACUCUGGCGGAACUGCCGGUGACAAACCGGAGGAAGGUGGGGAUGACGUCAAGUCAUCAUGGCCCUUAUGUCCAGGGCUACACACGUGCUACAAUGGUCGGUAUAGAGCGAUGCGACGCCGCGAGGCAUAAGCGAACCGCAAAAAGCCGGCCGUAGUUCGGAUUGAAGUCUGAAACCCGACUUCAUGAAGGUGGAAUCGCUAGUAAUCGCGCAUCAGCACGGCGCGGUGAAUACGUUCCCGGGCCUUGUACACACCGCCCGUCACACCAUCCGAGUUGGAGGUACCCGAAGCCGGUAGCUUAACCUGCAAAGGAGAGCGCUGUCGAAGGUACGUCUAGUAAGGAGGGUGGAGUCGAACAAGGU